GCGCCAGUAGCUCAGCUGGAUAGAGUACCUGGCUACGAACCAGGUGGUCGGAGGUUCGAAUCCUUCCUGGCGCGCCA
rnacentral:tRNA from 3 species